UAAAAAUAAUAAACCAAGAAGGGGGCAAAACCCUGUCCCAGGACUGUGAUUCUGCAAAGAAGUGCUCUACUUUUCUCUUCCAUCCAGCAUGAUGUUCGUUUAGCAAAUGAUGGUCUUCAGAGAGUCAGAUAGAUAAUAAGGUGGUGUGCGCUUUAGAGUGGGACCAUUGGGUGAUUGACAAAUGGCGGCGGCCAAAACGCCAAACUUUGGCGUUGGAUUGUAAAAUCUCUGGUUGAGAGCAGCGAACAAAACAGACCCAUGUGAUCAAAUCCUAUGACGCUGAUCAUCAACUUCUACAACACAUUUGUAUUCAAACACUAAGGGAACACGGCUCACACAACAGACACUAGCUGAGCUCACGAGUCACAGCUCAGCUUCAGCACCGCCCGCACCCGCCGACGCCACCGCCGAGACGCCGAGGACGGAGCCGCCGAGGACGGAGACGCUGAGGACGCUGAGGACGGAGACGCCGAGGACGGGGAGCCUCCUGAUCAAGUCUACCGCCACGGCCGAGUGUGUGUCUGUGAGUGUGUCUGUGUGAGUGAGUGUCUGUGUGUGUGUCUGUCUGUGUGAGUGAGUGUCUGUGUGUGUGUCUGUGUGUGAGUGUGUGUAAGUGUGUGUCUGGUGUGUGUGUGUGUGUGUGAGUGUCUGUGUGAGUGUGUGUGUGUGUGGUGUGUGUAGGUGUCUGUGUGUGUCCCGGUGUGUGACACACGUGGAGGUUUCCGGGUCACUUUGCUGAGUGGGUCUCUGGUUCCGUCUCGCCCGUAGUGCCUCGUUUGUCACACACCCACUUUAUUCAUGUUCAUAUCCGUCCCGUGGACGUCAGCGUGCAACGGCCACGUCCUGUGUUUGUGAACUAUGUUCUGGUUCUUCUCUUCAUUAUCAGCUGGUUUUGGGGUCUUGGAUCUGUGAACCAUCAGAACAAGAUCUGAGGAAACGUGGUUUGGGGAACAAAGGCCUGAGGGAAGUGAAUCCUAGAACUAUUAGAACACAGGUCCUUCAGAUCCAGUAACAAUACUGAACUGUGUACAUUCCCAAACAUAUACACAAUAUGUGCCAUCCAAAUGACAAUAGACACAACUCUGGGGCCUUUAAUUGUCUAAAUAAUACAUAACAAACCUUGUUGAAAAGAAAAAAGGAUACAAUUCAGCUUCAAAAUGCAAAAUCAAUGUGAUGAUUAUAUGUGAAAUAUAAUGUAAUGUCAAUCUUCUUGACAUUUUUUUACAUGUGCUGAGAUUAUUUUAUAUGUUGUUUGUUCUCCACAGAAAAAAAAGUGUAUCUAUAUAUAUAUACAUACACCUACAUAUUCGUGAAUGAGUUUUGAGGCGGGGUCACAGUCUCCGGCGUGGGUCAACGCGGUGCCGGCCCGGCGGCUCCUCUCGGCAGCCGCCCUGCUCCUGCACGCUGUCAGCCACACCACAGGUGUUGAUUCAGACCAUUAAUAAUUCACCAAGUUGCUCGCCGUCCUCCGUGUUGGCCAGAUGCCUCUCUGCACUGCGGAGCGCGUCAGCUGCACACUGAACCGGGCAUGUCACACAUGCAGAAAUAAGACAUGAAUAUUUAAAAAAAAUAUACCCCAGAAGCAGCCAGUGGAACCGGCUGCACAUCCGAGGGCACUGCCAUGUUUCAGCAGCCACCCCCCCCCCCCCCUCCUCCUCUGUAAAGGGGGGUGGGUGCCAUCCAGACGGGGAAGCCAGCCGCGUACCCCCCCCCUUCUCCUGAUUGCUGCUCUCUAAUGAGCGUUGCGGACGGUGAAUCUUUUCAGAGCAAAUUGUUGAAGACAUCUGGCCAAGCUUUCUCUCUGAUGCGGCUGAAAUGUCCCUCUAGAUGGGGUUGGCAUGGCAACCUCUAACUGCUAUUCAGCGGCAUUGCGGUUUGAAAGGUUUAGGGUCCAUAGUUGAAAAUCCAUUUGGGCCUCUAGCAGAGCGCUGUGCACUCCUCUCCCCGGGCUGGAGGUGCAAUAAAUAGUCCCUCGCCUCAAGGAAAAAUACAUUCCCUUUAUGAAUUGAUAGCACUCAUGGCACCAACAUGCCUUUGUUGUGUGCCUUUGUCAUAAAGGCCUUAUUGGUGGUAACACAACAGAGUGGUUCGGCAAUGGUAGUCUCUUUAAAGAAAAAUACAAAAUUCUCGCCCUCGUGGAAAAGUUGGGUGGUUUUAGUCACAUUCUUAUAUAAAGGUUCCACGUGAAUUACUAUUUUUUUUUGUCUUGUUAAAAAUCCAAACAUUGAAAAUUGCAAUAAAUUGUACACAGCUCUGCAAUAGCACACCGAGCAUCGCUAAUGGCCCGGCGCCGCGGCGGAAGGAUUAAGUGUGUGUGGGGAGGUGGUGGUGGAGAGGAAGAACGCAGCGUGUGUGUGUGUGUGUGUGUGUGUGUGUGUGUGUGUGGGCGGGGCUUAGGGUCCAUCCCCACUGUUAGCUCCCCACAACAACACUUAAUGACCCCCGUCCUUCAGCUGAGAUGAGACACUCCAUCCACAGAAUUAUCUGAAGGGCGCCGUGUUGGAGGAAAUUAUCACAUCCUCAGAGACAAAAUUGCCGAGGGAACUUAUCAUGACAAUUAGCGUACUUUGGGCCUCUGGCCGCAGUCACGGCAGGCGGAGCCGAAUGAUCCGCCGGGGCGGCGUUCGGGUUCAGCCAAUCAACAUGUGCCGGUCCCUUUUGCGUUGGAUUUUAGUCUUACGGCACUGCACAAGUGCUCAAGAGCAUCGGCACAACAAAUGUGUGCGAGGUCCCUGUGGGAUAAAUCUUAACGCGUCCCGCAGCAAAACGUGGGACAGGACAGCGACGAGGACUCAGAGGUCCCUUUGUCACCCAGAGAAAGAAAGAUGGUUCACUUACAGCUCCACUAAUCACUGAGUCUCGAGCCUGUAAUGAUUAUUUAACGCCGGAUCAAUAUGUAGAGAGAGCUGCCUACUCAUAAAGACAUAUAACGCGUCGCAUUAAGUAAGGAGCCAUCUACUAAGUGCUGCACACGUCUGCUAUAUAUAUAUAUGGUUUGGCAGAAGACGACGCUCAGCUUAAAGCUCACUUGAACUUCUCUAAAGGGCGAGUCCUUGAUAUCAUUUUGUGGUUUCCGCUGUCCUUCCUUAUGUCAUCAAAUCCAAGUCUGCACCCAAGUGCAUGUCAAUGUCCCAAUGCCUCCACAUGUAUGAAGCAAACAGUAAGUAGCGGAACGUUUGAAUGGACUUACAGACACGAGGAAUAAAGAGGACCUGAGGUUCCUUCGUGCUAAAUGUCUGCAGGCAGCGCAGCUUCCACGCGAUGCAUCAUUUUCAGUCUCCGAACCAGGGGUCCCUGCGCCCCCCCGCCUCCCCUCCCCCCCUUAAAUGCAUGACGAUUAAUCUCUCAGUGUUCAACCUUGACGUGAGUUAUUCACAGCUGAAGAGCGACAUCGCUGGCUCCUGUGACCAUCAAUUGCGUUUUCCCUCUGACCUAAUUGCCUCACGUGUCUUCAUAUUCAAUACAAGUUCCCUCUGCUGCCAGACGACACCCAUUGUCUCGCCGCUGUGCACAGACAUGAAGAUUGGUUCAAGAUUCAGCUCAUUAUGAUGUCUGAUGCCUCUGACUUUGUAACACGGCGAAUGGAGCAGCAAACACACACACACACACACACACACACACACCAGGCUGCAGGAAUCAGGGCUUUCACAGCGGCUUCGUCGCUUCCUUCAGUCACCUGCGGCAUGAAAGUAAAUAUCAACUCUUUGAAAGUCUCAGUCGCAGACUCACACAGUCCCCGUCAGCGUCAUCAGGCUGUUGGGAGGUUGUAAGUUCGUCGCCGAGAGGCCGAGCGGGGCGACAAACCUGCACACUCGCUGGCUGUCAAUCAUUCAACCAUCCAACAGCUGACUUUUGCAGUUUUAUUUGUUGGGGAGAAACAAACUAUUGUGUUGUAUGAGACGCUUGCUUAUUGGUGACGACGGGGAGAACAGUCUAAAAAGCGUCAAUGAGACUCUCAUGUCUCAUGUCUCUCACCUUCUGUCCUUCCAUUCACCCAGCAAGCACAGAACAGCACCAAGGGACACAUUUACCACACGUGACCUAAAGGGGUUUACAAAACAAACAGGUUGCCCCCUGCAGGGGUCACCAACAACAUAAAACAACACGACAACAACAUAAAAGUAGUGGUUAUAAAAUAGACCAGUGGAAAUGUGCAGCAAGGAGGCGUUAAUCUGCACAAUCCACUGAUCAGUAUAAUAAUAAUAAUAAGGAAACAUUUCUUCUCAUUGUCUUGAGUUUUUGGCUGCUAUUUUGUUUCGAUCACAAGUCUUAUUCCAGAAUAGUGGAUAGAAAACAUCCAAAACAGACAUUUAGUGGUGUGAAGAGUCAAUAAAGUUACGCUAACAUUAAGCUUCUCGCCCCCGAAGAAGAAUUCAGUGAAAUACAGCGAGCGAAGAUAAAGCAACGCUGAGGGACUCUGGCUCCUUUUCCAUGGAGAAGAAACGGUGUUUCCUGCGGCGCGGCAUCCAGCGAGCGACCACGUGAUGUCAUAUCCCUCCUGAACGCAGUCGGCUUCCACUUACUCACUCACGGUUCUAUUUCAGCCUUGAUUAUUGAGAGAGCUGAGCUACCAGAAAAGCUAUUUGAUUCAUUGAACGCAGGCAAAUACAAUCACAGAGUGAAAUACGGUGCGAGUAGUGUGAUGGACAGUUUUUUAGAAUCUGUCCCGUGCAAUCCAACGUAGCUCCUCCCCGGUGGUCUUUGGGAGCCUCUCACCUGACCCCCGUUCCACAGCACAAUACAUUCAAUUAAUACACCUUUGGCCUACAGCUUCUGAGUAAACAUGACAUAAUGUCAUCAUUAUCAUCUAAUAGCUUUACGCUUUUAUCAUGUUAAGCAUCUCAAACUGAAUAUUAACUCAUUUCAUGUGGUCAGAAAUCGAACGCUUGCCACACACGGCUUCCCUGUGUGCGGCAGGAGAAAAACCUUCAUCGUGAAUAAAGGGGGGUUUUAAGCAUCUUCCCCCCAGACCGAACAUUACAUUGUGAAUGGAUGCCACGCACAGUGUUACAGUGACUUCAUGUCAUCAUCCACCCACCAGCUACCACACACACCUGCCCACUACAGACGGACCUUCACACACUGCAGUCACAGCUGCAGCAGCGGAGUUGGGCUCAAGUGCCUUGCUCAAGAACACAGCGGCAAGCGUCUGGUUAGAGGACGACGAGCUCUCCGCUCAGUGACUACUGCCAGUAACGCAGCAGUCAAAUACACGUACAUCAUGUGAACCCUUCUGACAAACAACGAUGACCGUCCACUGAAGUUAAGAACGCAUCGUAAAACAAGCAAGCACGUAACAGUGAGCCGAUGCUUUCCAUUAAUACCACAGUACCAGCACUAAAUGUUCGUGUUCAUGAAUGAGGACGGAUUUCAAUGGGCCUCGCCGGUGAUUGUAUUAUUAACACAUGUUGUGGCUUCACAGUGUGUGGAAGAUGCAACUGGCGCCAUGAAGCGAUUGACGCCGUAAGCGGUAAUAUUCGUUCUUGUGAUGAGGAACUAUUGGAAACGUGUAGCAUGAGCGAUUUCAAUGUGCUCUCCAUUCUAUCCCUUUUCCCUGCGUUUGCGGGUCAGUUGCUAUAGCAACCCAGGCAGAGGAAGACUAGUGUUUAAUUGAUCCACUAAUGCAUUUAGCUGCACACUCACCACUAAGUUGCCUUUGUUUCCAGGUCACAUUUUAGGAAAAUUUACAUAAUUUACAUAAAAGCAUUUGCUGUUGCCAGAACCAGUCAUUAUCAACAGUUUUUACUUUUUGUCCUUUGGCAACAAAUGUGGUGUAAACACAGAUUAUUAAAAGCUACAAUAUUGCCUCAUCAGGGAAUUAUUAUAAUACUAAUGCUGGUGGUAAACAUAAUACGUUUGGCAGGCCCUGUCUCCAAACAGGCAGUCAUAUUGGGAAUGCUAAUUAAUAGUUGCUUUACAAAGAAAAGCAAUCCCCAGGACCCAGUCACCAUUCGCCCGCUACGUCCAUAUGUCCUUUUUAACACAUCAAGUGCAGGGUAGAAAAACAUUGUAAAAUAAGCCCCAGCAGGGGUGGCUGACAACGUUGUGAGAAAGGGUUGGACUUCACCUCAAAAGAACUGAUGACCCCGAAAGAGGAAUCUGGAUGUUAUUGGUUUAAGCUUCUCACGUGGAUUUCAAAGGCUUUUCUCACUCAGAAUGAGAGGCUCACACUUCAAACACUGAUAAUCUGGAGAGAAUAUCAGUCAAGUCAUGUGUUGGUAAAAAACUAGGGCUAAUUAACGAACUGUUUAAUUGGACAUUUUGAAAUACAUGCGAUUAAUCACAAUUAAAAGUUUUUGUUUUUUUAACACAGUGGUGGUUCUCUGCAGAGUAAAUGGAAGCAGCCUAGCCGCUAGCUUAGCCUAGCAGAUAGCUUAGCCUAGCGGUACGUAAAGCGGUCCGUUUACAACUCACCCCCUUCUGUUUGACAGGUGGAUCCUCUACCCAGUUCUCCGCUGUGUGUCCAGCGUGGAAACCACAAGGUUGGCGGUUCGAGCCCCCGGCAGCCCCGUGUCCCAGGUUGAAGUGUCCCUGAGCAAGACACCUAACCCCUAGUUGCUCCCCGGGCAAAAAAAUGUAAAAGCCAUGGGUUAAAAAUCUGUAAUGUAAUAUAGUCUAACUGACUGCAGUAGGUUCGUUUCCGGGGUCAACUUUGUUUACUUCCGGCAAAGUUGUGUUAACGGCGUUAAAAUAUUUUAUCGCAUUAAUCUGGGCCACAUUAAUCACAUAGGUCAACGGUUAAUGUUGACACCCCUGUGAAAAACAUUAUAGAUGACAGUGGUAUUUCUUACAAAAAUAAAACAGGAAUUGAAAUCAGGAAGAACCCGGAGGUGUGAACAUCAGAAAUGAAAAAGGAAAAGUGAUCUAUACAUAUUGAUUUCCAAUGUUCUUUUUUUCUAGCAAAUACAGCAAAGAAUGUUGAACUGGUUGGAUGCUGGGUGUUGAAUUCUACCAUUUUAAAAUGCACCUACAAAAAUAUGCAUAUUUUAAACAACAAGAAGUAACUCCAAAUCUCAAAGCUCUCCAGGCCGGGUCCUGCUUUAGGACUGAGAAGCUGUCCUGGUUCCCUGUUGAUAAUGUUGCCUGUCUUUCACAUCCCUCGGUCAACCUCGUUUGGAUGUGACUUGUUUGAUCUACGGGUGGUGGAUUCGUACCUGUAUCGGUAGUUUUACCUUGAAAGGUUUGGCAGCGCAUCAGCUGUAGCUGGCUUAGUAGCCUAACCCUUAGUAGUAACCCUAACCCUAACCCUUAGUAGUAACCCUAACCCUGACCCUAACCCUAACCCUAAGACCACGAGACAUUCAAAUGUUUUGAUUGCAGGGAAUUAUUUGGGUCAACCAAAUAACUUGACAGUUUUUACCUAAUAGAGACAAAAAGAAGAGCCCAGUCGACUCCACCUGAAAAUUCAGUACUUUCAUCAAACGAUGACAGGAAAUUGAAAAUAUGAAAUAACUUGCCUAAAUGUAUUUACUUGGUGUCAUCUAGACGUACCCAACAUGGCCCAUGUGCAGAUAUCAAAGUGGUUAUGCAUCAGUUAUAUAUUUGUAUAUGGCUGGUUCACCUAUUAUAAGACAGUAUAGGGUGGUGUGGAAUGGGCAGCAAAAGCAGUGACCACUUUGUGCUGAAAGCACACGGUCACAGUGCUCGAGCACAGGUACAACGUGCCUUCUCUUGAGAACACUGGUCAGUUCAAACCAGAGCCAGCUGCAUGUCAGAGUCCUACUUAUAUCACACGUUUGUCAUAUUUGUUAUUUUUUAGGCCCUUAAAAAUGUGCACUGGGAUGCUUACAAAUUGAUGGAGCCUUUGUUCAUUUAAGAAAAUAUUAAUUUUCAUUAUACCUUUUUUAUUUUUCCUGCUGUACUGAGGACCGUGAGGCCAAAACCAAAGCACACAGAUCUUAUUACUGUUCCAACCUUUUGUUCAACCUUUUUUUUCUGGUAGUACAAUUUUAUUAUGAUUUUUUUCUUUACUAUAACAAAAGGCCAGAAUUUGCCACAGAUUCCUCAGAAGCUGACGGUAAAGCAGUGAGCCACCGGGUGAGGUAACAUGCUGUGGAUGUAUUUGCCCCAUGUCACUCGAAGCCAAAAGACUGUGUGUGCACGGUGUGACCAAAUCUCACCAGCCAUUAUGUGCAAUUUGGAGAAAAUUGACGGCAGCACAGAGACAGGCCUGCGAAAAAGCAGAAAAGUGCAAGGACGAGUAAUUUCCUUCGAAAAAAACGGGACAGCACGUGCGGGUAAGUGCACGGUGCUUUACAAGUCCCUGUUAGAUUCCCGUGUGUACAGUAAGACAUGAGGGGUAAUUAUUAAUUAUCCCAGACAGUAAUGCUGGAAUACAUAAUUAUGUGACAAACAUGACAUCUUCAAUCUUGCCGCUAAGUGAUGAAUGUCACGAGGAGACUGCAAUUAUGUCAUCUCAUUCACGCGGGAGUAUUGUAAUUGCAAAAUUAAAAGCACUUCAGCUAAUUUUGUCUUAUUGCUCGGAGUGUAGUCUUGGAGGUAGAAUUGUAAUCACUGAAGCACACGGGGAAAUGAGAAGGCUGCACAUAUUUUAGAGGGAAAUUAUCAAGCAGAUUGUCACCUAUGGGAGCUGCCGGGGACAAUGUGCUGACAGUAAUAAUUCAGGUGUCGAAUGUAAAUCAACAUGGAGAGAAUUCUGCGAAGGAAUUAAGUAUGCGCCUCACAAGAUAUCACUCGCAAAUGGGUGUAUUAUUAUUUUUCGGCCUGAUCCUGAGAAUCCUGAGCUAUGUGGUUCUUUUCCACAGUGAUCAUAUUUAAAUGUGCAUUAUUAUUUAUCCGUUUUUCUGGAAGCAUUUUUUUUUCUCCAGUUUUUCAGACGUGAAACAAUUUCCUUUGUGUGUCUGCUUUACGACACAGUAAAUGUACAAUUUCCACCCGUUUCCAUUGCACACAUCACCUCUUCUAGAAAUAAACUUUGUUCAUAACACACGUGUAGUUUCUGCUCACUACUUGAAUUGCCCAUUCUAAGGAUCCAUAGAGUCUUUUCACAAUAAAUGUACAGAUGCGGCUCAUAACACAUGUAGUGUGCUUUCAAAAUAAACUGUGUUCACUGGAAAGGUGGAAUUCAUGCUUUUUACAUUUUGUCAUGUUUUUUCAAAAUAAACUUCUGUUGUUUGUUCCCUCAUGGCCUUUGGAUGUGGCCUUUAACCAAAAAGUGAGAUGGAGCAAACAUGGUUGCAUGUCAAUGUAACAGACGUGUUGAGGGCAUGAAGUGGACUCGAUUCUGAUCUUUACAGCUUUUAUUCGGUCUUGUAGAAGACAACAAAACACCGACAUUGUCUCUGUCUGCACAUCAGCUUCCUAGACACGCAAAACAACAACCAUUUCACACGGAGAGUAAACAGAUGUAGCUAAUACAAACGUGUACAUUUACCGUCUAAUACAAACGUGUACAUUUACCGUAUAAUACAAACGUGUACAUUUACCGUCUAAUACAAACGUGUACAUUUACCGUAUAAUACAAACGUGUACUUUUACCGUCUAAUACAAACGUAUACUUUUACUGUCUAAUACAA
ensembl:lncRNA